AGUGAACGCUGGCGGUAGGCCUAACACAUGCAAGUCGAACGGCAGCACAGUAAAAGCUUGCUCUUACGGGUGGCGAGUGGCGGACGGGUGAGGAAUACAUCGGAAUCUACUUUUUCGUGGGGGAUAACGUAGGGAAACUUACGCUAAUACCGCAUACGACCUACGGGUGAAAGCAGGGGAUCUUCGGACCUUGCGCGAUUGAAUGAGCCGAUGUCGGAUUAGCUAGUUGGCGGGGUAAAGGCCCACCAAGGCGACGAUCCGUAGCUGGUCUGAGAGGAUGAUCAGCCACACUGGAACUGAGACACGGUCCAGACUCCUACGGGAGGCAGCAGUGGGGAAUAUUGGACAAUGGGCGCAAGCCUGAUCCAGCCAUACCGCGUGGGUGAAGAAGGCCUUCGGGUUGUAAAGCCCUUUUGUUGGGAAAGGAAAGCAGCAGGUUAAUACCCCGCUGUUCUGACGGUACCCAAAGAAUAAGCACCGGCUAACUUCGUG
rnacentral:rRNA from 1 species